rnacentral:rRNA from 1 species
UACGGAGGGUGCAAGCGUUAAUCGGAAUUACUGGGCGUAAAGCGUGCGUAGGUGGUUCGUUAAGUCCGUUGUGAAAGCCCCGAGCUCAACUUGGGAAUUGCAGUGGAUACUGGCGAGCUAGAGUGCGGUAGAGGAAGGUGGAAUUCCCGGUGUAGCGGUGAAAUGCGUAGAGAUCGGGAGGAACACCAGUGGCGAAGGCGGCCAUCUGGGACAACACUGACGCUGAAGCACGAAAGCGUGGGGAGCAAACAGG